AGGUGGGAGGAUGGCUUGAGCCCAGGAGGUGGAGGUUGCAGUGAGCUGAGAUCAUGCCACUGCACUCCAGCCUUGGCAACAGAGACAGACCCUGUCUC
rnacentral:miRNA from 1 species